AGCUUGCUGCUUUGCUGACGAGUGGCGGACGGGUGAGUAAUGUCUGGGAAACUGCCUGAUGGAGGGGGAUAACUACUGGAAACGGUAGCUAAUACCGCAUAACGUCGCAAGACCAAAGAGGGGGACCUUCGGGCCUCUUGCCAUCGGAUGUGCCCAGAUGGGAUUAGCUAGUAGGUGGGGUAACGGCUCACCUAGGCGACGAUCCCUAGCUGGUCUGAGAGGAUGACCAGCCACACUGGAACUGAGACACGGUCCAGACUCCUACGGGAGGCAGCAGUGGGGAAUAUUGCACAAUGGGCGCAAGCCUGAUGCAGCCAUGCCGCGUGUAUGAAGAAGGCCUUCGGGUUGUAAAGUACUUUCAGCGGGGAGGAAGGGAGUAAAGUUAAUACCUUUGCUCAUUGACGUUACCCGCAGAAGAAGCACCGGCUAACUCCGUGCCAGCAGCCGCGGUAAUACGGAGGGUGCAAGCGUUAAAUCGGGAAUUACUGGGCGUAAAGCGCACGCAGGCGGUUUG
rnacentral:rRNA from 1 species